GCGCCAAUAGCUCAACUGGAUAGAGUAUCAGACUUCGAAUCUGAGGGUUGCGGGUUCAACUCCUGCUUGGCGUACCA
rnacentral:tRNA from 1 species